GCAUUAUGGGAGGUGGGAGAAACCAAGUGCUGAGGAUGAAGGGUGGGUUGUUUGUUAAUUUGAAAUUUGAGUGCCUUACCAAUGAUGGAAUUUGUAUACAUGACUGAUAAAUAAUAAUAGUUUGAUUAGUGCAUAUAGUUUAUAAAUUCAGGUUUGGUUAUUUGAUUAAAUUCAUUUCUGUUAACUUGAGUGACUGUCAAUGGUUUUGCCCAUCACUAUAAAUGCACACUCGCUGGACUAAGCCAGAUUUAUCAGUUUGAGAUAGCAGCUGCAGUGUAAGGAUGCAGGAAGAGAUUGUCAUGCUUGAAAUUAUGUGCCUACUUUCAUCAUUGGACGGCCGGUACAGACAAAGCCAUAGACAUUCUCCAGGAGCCGCUGAGAUGAAAAGUUGCUUUUUGAACUGAAGACUAACCUGUGUCCCUUACAAUAUUUACAAAGUCAUGCAUUUUGUAUUAUGCAUCACCGUUUCCCUUAUUGUAAAACCAAGCCCAGCUGUACCUGGUUGUAUGUGUGUGUGUGUGUGUGUGUAUUUCCCCUCCUUCACUAUAGCAGAAUGUCUUUAAGUUGUUGCUUUAAUUACAUUCGUAAUGCAGACAUGUUCUGUGACCCACCUGUAGGGUUCUUGAUUUGUUCCUUUACAGCAUUAAAAGUAAUCCAGCAACCUCAGUCUGUGGCAUGAAGCGCUCCGUGUUUUGAUGACCAAACCUGUGUGAAGACACGAGGGUCUACCAGCAAAUGUGUUUGGAACAAAGGGUGCAGAAAAGGCGCAAGUCCUUUGUCUACACUAUUAUUAAUGUUCCUUCAGCACAGUUCCAUUCAUGCCCUGGAUUAUUCCUGAUAUGUUGCCCCGCUAUACAUGUCUUGGGUUUGACUGACCAGGACUUGACCAGAGGACUCAAAGAGCAGGUUUUGCUACUUGUAAGCUGGGCAGCUUCUUGGAGUUGGAUGUGCUGCUGUCCUGUAGCUUGAUAGCAGCUCACUUUUGAUGCAUUCCCCCCCACCCCCUCCCCGAUAGUCCUUGUUAUGGACAACUUCAGCACUCAUCUAGCCUGUUGAACAAUAUCAGAAGCAUCUUUUAUGGUCCAGAGGACUCUUAAUCCAAGAAUUCCUUGGGGGCACAAUUAUCCACAAGAACAAUGUCUUCAGGUACUAAAUUUAACUUCAGAUUUCUGCCACUUUUGCCAUUCUUUCAGUAGCUGCAUGCAUUUCUUAGUCCAUGUAGACAAGAAGAGAUUGGUCAUGUUGAAUUUGCUUCCAUCUUCUACUUGAAUAACAGUCCUCUUUCUGAAAAACUCCUGGUGGCAUGAUUUCAUCAGCAGAGGGUUUGUAAUCAGAGGCUCAAAGUCAUGGUUUAGCAAUUGGUCAUAGUUUAAUGACUUCAACACAAUUGUGUGACGCGUUUAAUCAUCUAAUACCUGUUAAUUCAACACCAAAUUGAGAACUUUCUAAAUUGCAUUUGUCCUUCCCAUGUUCCACGUUGAGAUGCUGGAGUAUUUUGAAAAUCCACUUUGUCCAAAAUCCAGUUUACAAUUUCUCUCUUCAAACGGUGUACAAAGAAUCUCCAUCUUUCUGCCUCUAAAGUUUUUUUUAAAAAAAAAGAGCAAAAAAAAAAAAAACCAGCAAGAUAAAUGUAUGUUAAAAAUUUAUGUAAACUAAAGG
ensembl:lncRNA